ensembl:lncRNA
GCGGUGGCCACGGCCGAGGGCCUCUCGGUGGCGGAGGGCCGUGCCUCCUCGGUCCGCCGGGCGGACACCGGCUGUGACCUUGUAUGACGCCAGUUACGGGGCCACCAGCCUACAAGCCUGCUGACGUGAAAGGUCUGAAGACUGAGGCCCGGAGUGGUGAUGACCCGACCAGCCUGAGGCUGCACACCCAGGAGCUGGGAUCCAAGCUUCUUCCCCACCCAGCAGUUGUAGGCCAGAGGACUGCUUUUGAGAGGAAAAAGGCCCACCAGUAAAGCAGCAAUCUCUUUAAUCUCUC